rnacentral:rRNA from 1 species
GAGCCAGACUCCUACGGGAGGCAGCAGUGGGGAAUAUUGCACAAUGAGGGAAACCCUGAUGCAGCGACGCCGCGUGAGUGAAGAAGUAUUUCGGUCUGUAAAGCUCUAUCAGUAGGGAAGAAAAUGACGGUACCUGACUAAGAAGCCCCGACUAACUACGUGCCAGCAGCCGCGGUAAUACGUAGGGGGCAAGCGUUAUCCGGAUUCACUGGGUGUAAAGGGAGCGUAGACGGCGACGCAAGUCUGGAGUGAAAGCCCGGGGCCCAACCCCGGGACUGCUCUUGGAACUGCGCGGCUGGAGUGCAGGAGGGGCAGGCGGAAUUCCUGGUGUAGCGGUGAAAUGCGUAGAUAUCAGGAGGAACACCAGUGGCGAAGGCGGCCUACUGGACGGUGACUGACGCUGAGGCUCGAAAGCGUGGGGAGCAAACAGGAUUAGAUACCCUGGUAGAC